GUAACGCGUGGAUAACCUGCCUGGUAGACCGGGAUAACAGCUGGAAACGGCUGCUAAUACCGGAUACGCUCAAGAGAACGCAUGUUCUAAUGAGGAAAGAUUUAUUGCUAUCAGAUGGAUCCGCGUCCCAUUAGCUAGUUGGAGGUGUAACGGACCACCAAGGCGACGAUGGGUAGCCGGCCUGAGAGGGCGAACGGCCACACUGGGACUGAGACGCGGCCCAGACUCCUACGGGAGGCAGCAGUGGGGAAUCUUCCGCAAUGGGCGAAAGCCUGACGGAGCAACGCCGCGUGAGGGAAGAAGGCCUUCGGGUUGUAAACCUCUGUUUUCAGGGACGAAGAAAAUGACGGUACCUGAAGAGUAAGCCCCGGCUAACUACGUGCCAGCAGCCGCGGUAAUACGUAGGGGGCAAGCGUUGUCCGGAUUUACUGGGCGUAAAGGGCGCGUAGGUGGUGCAUUAAGUUAGAGGUGAAAGUUCGGGGCUCAACCCCGUGAGGCCUCUGAUACUGGUGGACUUGAGUGCAGGAGAGGGGAGCAGAAUUCCCAGUGUAGCGGUGAAAUGCGUAGAUAUUGGGAGGAAUACCAGUGGCGAAGGCGGCUCUCUGGACUGUAACUGACACUGAGGCGCGAAAGCGUGGGGAGCAAACAGGAUUAGAUACCCUGGUAGUCCACGCCGUAAACGAUGAGUGCUAGGUGUUGCGGGUAUCGACCCCUGCAGUGCCGCAGUAAACACAAUAAGCACUCCGCCUGGGGAGUACGGUCGCAAGACUGAAACUCAAAGGAAUUGACGGGGGCCCGCACAAGCGGUGGAGUAUGUGGUUUAAUUCGACGCAACGCGAAGAACCUUACCAGGGCUUGACAUCGCGUGAAAGCCGUAGAGAUACGGUGCUCUACCUUCGGGUAGACACGUAGACAGGUGGUGCAUGGUUGUCGUCAGCUCGUGUCGUGAGAUGUUGGGUUAAGUCCCGCAACGAGCGCAACCCCUAACAUUAGUUGCCAGCACGUGAAGGUGGGAACUCUAAUGUGACUGCCGUUGACAAAACGGAGGAAGG
rnacentral:rRNA from 1 species